rnacentral:rRNA from 1 species
AUGGGUGCUACUGCUUUCUUGUACAUCCUGCUGUCCCUCUGGGUUCAGGGCGCAGCUGCCAUUCUUGGCUUCACAAGAAGCGAUUUUCCCCAGGACUUCGUAUUUGGAUCUGGAACCUCAGCAUAUCAAUAUGAGGGUGCUGUUGCUGAGGAUGGCAGGAGGCCAAGCUAUUGGGACACUUUCACUCAUGCAGGUAAAAUGCCAGACCAAAGCAUAGGAGAUGUUACUGCAGAUGGGUACCAUAAAUACAAGGAGGAUAUCAAGCUCAUAUCUGAGACAGGUCUAGAGGCCUAUAGGUUCUCCAUCUCCUGGUCAAGGCUCAUUCCAAAUGGGCGUGGAGCUGUCAAUCCAAAAGGGUUACAAUUCUACAAUAACAUCAUAGAUGAGCUUGUGAAACAUGGUAUUCAAAUACACAUCACACUUCACCAUCUAGAUCUCCCUCAAAUUCUUGAAGACGAGUAUGGUGGAUGGUUAAGCCCCAGAAUUAUCGAAGAUUUCACGGCAUAUGCGGAUGUUUGCUUCAGGGAGUUUGGAGGCAGAGUCACUUACUGGACUACAGUGAACGAGCCAAACAUUGGUGCAGUUGCCGCUUACGGCAGUGGUCAAUUACCACCUGGUCGAUGCUCAGAUCCAUUUGGAAUAACAAAGUGCACAGCUGGGAACUCCAGCACUGAACCAUACAUAGCAGUUCAUACUUACUUAUUGGCGCAUGCAUCAGUUGCCAGACUGUACAGAGAAAAGUAUCAAGCUGUGCAAAAAGGACUUGUGGGCAUAAAUAUCUACUCCUUCUGGAGUUACCCAUUCACAGAUUCCACCGCGGAUUUAGAAGCAACUCAAAGAUGCAAGGACUUCAUGUUUGGCUGGAUACUAGAGCCUUUGGUGUUUGGGGACUACCCAGAAAUGAUGAAGAAAAAUGUUGGCUCUCGUCUUCCAUCGUUCACAAAAGUCCAAUCUGAACUUAUCAAGGGUUCUUUUGAUUUUAUCGGAAUAAAUCACUACUAUUCUCUUUAUGUGAGUGACCGCCAGACAGAACCAGGUAUCCGAGACUACAACAGGGACAUGUCAAUUUAUUACAGAGCUUCUAGGACAGAACCGCCAGCUGGGCAGGGAGCCCCAACAAAUGUUCCAAGUGAUCCCAAAGGGUUGCAACUUGUCCUCGAGUACCUGAAGGAAGCCUAUGGGAUAACUCAACUUUAUGUCCACGAGAAUGGUGUGGGGUCAGCCAACGAUAGCCUUGAUGAUACUUACAGGGUCGAUUACCUGCGCAGCUACAUGGGAAGCACACUAGAUGCAAUAAGGAAUGGGGUUAAUGUGAGGGGUUAUUUCGCCUGGGCACUCAUGGACCUAUUCGAGCUCCUGGCAGGAUACGAGUCCAAGUACGGCCUGUACCGCGUGGAUUUUGAUGACGAAAGGAGGCCACGGCAAGCCAGGCUCUCUGCUCGCUGGUACUCCGCCUUCCUGAAAAAGAAUGGAUCCUCUAUUCGAGUAUCAAGGGCGCAGGAGGACCUAAGGUUGACGACCGUCUUCUAA